GGGUGGGAGAGGAGAGAGGGGGGGGGUGGGAGAGAGGGAGAGAGAGAGAGCAAGCGAGAGAGAGAAAGGUAAAGAGAUGUGUGGUUUCUCCCUACUGUGCGAGUUAGCUCUGGUCUGUAGGUUUGAUUAAAAGUCAGAGGCAGACAGACGAGCUGUUUGCAGUAGACACCAAGGUGGAAGAAAUGGCAUUGAACAACAUUGGAUCUACAGACUACCCUUGUUCAGCAUGUAUAAGACAGGUCACAAGUACUACUAUAAGGCUCUUCAGUCUAGAGUGGGUCAGCUGUACAUUUCUGGGAAGCAGAGAAGAAGAAAGAGAGGAGAAGAAGAAAGAGAGGAGAAGAAGAAAGAGAGGAGAAGAAGAAAGAGAGGAGAAGAAGAAGGAGAGGAGAGAAAGAAAG